rnacentral:lncRNA from 1 species
GAAGAAAGGAGAAGGAGAGGGGGGCGCAAGGUGAGGGAGAUGGUCGCCGGCGGUGGCGCCUCCGGUGACCGGCCGGCGGCAGGACCGAUGGUGUCUGGAGUUUUGGACACCUGAGCGAGCUACCCUGCUGCUGCUAAUUCUUCUCUCCCCACGCCUCUGCUGCUGCUCCUUCUACUCCUCAGAUGCCCAUGCUUGCUCUCAAACAAUCAUUGUUGAAGGUGAAGUUCUUUUACAGAAAAAUGUAAAAUAUGUUACGCAGAGGAACUAUGUUAGCUGAAGUGGCUGCUAAGUUGUUUCAACAAAUGAAGAUGAGGUUUGAUGCUUAAUUGUGCUUGCAGGACUGAAGGGCAUGAUUUCUGGACCACAGAUGAUGCAUUUUAUUGGCAGGCACAAUCAAGGGCCCAUCAUCUUUCUGCUAUAGGUUCAACACAAACAACAGCUAUCUUGUUGAGAUUCAAUUGCUAUUCGGUGGAGAGCAGCCACAAAAAGUUCCUCAAUUGAUGCACAGUGGCCACCGAAAACAGAUCUCGCUUUCAAUCUCUAAUUGAUUCUCAGCUACAGAGUGGCAUGUAUCUAUAGACUUGCUAAUGUGAUGGCUAAUGCAUGUGUAUUAAUUCAUGAAUUAGCAAAAUAUUUCCCGUGAGAUGUGCUAAUAUACAAAUUUGAUGUUCACAGUGCCCUCCACUUUUUUUUUGUUAUGCCUAUAAGAGAUGACUUAUUUUCAAUUUUUAAAUAGAAAAGCACAGUAUGGUUGCUCUUAUAUACAGCUCAUAAAAAGGAAUUACAAAUAAGAAGAGUGAUGUGUUCUCCUCAAAACAAAAUUGCUGAAAUUCACAUGCAUGGUGGCGCCAUACAGCGAGCGCAUGGUGGCAGAGUUCACAAGCUAGAUCUCUGACUGGCGUAAUGGCUUGUCCUGAUGCAGAGAAGGACGGGGUUCAAGUUGUUGGGCCGGUGGCAGGGGCAGCAUGAUGUUUUCGUCAGGUAACAACCUAGCCAUCGACUCAAGAUUUAACUGAACCAAUUCCUUUAAUUCAAGCUCCAAAUCGUUGUUAUUUGAUUCACUAAUUGGUUGCUGGCAACAACUAAUUGGACAUAUAAUUGUUGAUUUAUGUACAAACAAUAUCUUCAGUAGUUUUCAGAUCUUCAAUAAGGAUCAUCAAGCCCUCUGUUUUUUAUAUGAAGAAUAGAUAUUGUAAUUGUGCCUCCAUUACGUCUAAAAGUCAGAUAUCGGAAAAAUGUCAUUGGCAUAUCUCUGUCACGAUGGAGGAUUGGUUAGACAGAAAAAGGACCUCUGGUUAUGUAUGACAUGAUGCGAGGCACAUAUCUCUGAAUGAAGCGCAACAAGAAUUGACAUCCUCUAAUGCUAACUGUUGAGCAUUCUUCUCUGAAGUAUCAGGUCAGUAUCCCAUGUGCCCCCUAUUCAUCUGUCAUCGCUGCAUAAAAAUUUAAUGCAGUUUUUAAGCCUAUGUUUAAGGGUAGCUAAAUCUCUAUGGACCAACCAUAUUAUCUUUUUGAGAUAAGAAAUCAACCUUCAUCAUGUACUUAUGUUGUAACUUCUCCCAUCUUUUGUGCUAUUAUCUAAAAGAGGUGUGGAUUGGAAUCAGUUUUUUUGCUGCACCCCCAUUCCGACGAGGUCACGCACACAUACCACUGGGAAUCCCACGAACCCUAUGUUCGAGCGCGAGCGACGGCAAUAGCAUCUGCAAGUACUUGACCAACACGCUACCCGGGUGUGGUAUCCACUAUUGAGGCCAAGCAACCUAGCUCGGUCAUCCUUAAGUGUGUUUGUGUCCACCACCUGAUGAAGAACGGGAGAAGAUUGCUGACUUUGUGCCUAGUGAUGGUUGCCUGAACUUCGUAGAGCAAAUUGACGAGGUGUUGAUUGCUGAAUUUGGUCUUAAGAGGCACGUCGUGGGAGAUAUCCCUUGUGGCAGGUUCAAAGUUGUGAUGGUAUCUGGUGUCUCCCAGCGAGAUUUGUUCCUUCUCUUAACAGUUACUAUUAAGGUAUAACAGUGAUGUGCUACUCUGCUGGUCCUUUAGAUGUCAAAAAGAUUAUGUGUUGUGCUAGCUAGCGACUUUUAUCUCCCCGUGGAUGCAGAUUUCAGAAUAUGUUUAGUUACGACGUACCACAAAGCUGAUCUUUUUAACAUUUGAUUGCCGUGCUUAAUACCACAGUUAGGUAGUUUGACUCUUAGACACUGGUCUUUUUAAUAUCAGACUUAAACAACUACAGUUCUAAAUAGCAGUAGUUCUUCUGAAUUUCUACCUAUUUAUUUCACUAUUGUGGUUUCAAAAUCCAAUAGCCUUGCUGUUAGUUAAUGCUCUAUUUAUAUUUUUUGCCAACAGAACAAAUUUAUGUUUCCAGCAAAAAAGUUGGCCGGCCCCAGCAAAAAAAAAGAACAGUUCCAGCCAAAAAAGAUCGCCGCCGUGGUCACAGGUACUAAAUGGUUCCACUGUACAUCUCUAUAGUUAUUUGGCUGAAGGUGCGCAUUAGUGGUUAGCUGUGAUAAUACAAAUAGUAAACAUGUUAUACCAGGUAGCAGAACUUCACGAAAAUUUGCUGAAGGAGUUGCAUCAUCCUUGAUCAAAUAUUAUUUUUAUUAUUCCUUCUUGGUUUUAGACAAUAACAUUAGAGAAUCUAAAUCCUUUUACCGCGCAUCAGUACAUGUAAUAGAGCAACUCUUGGUGCAACUAGCUGCAGCAAAGACCAACUUGACUUGAUGGUAUUUUUGAUCUGUUCACCUACCCUCCCUCGCUCAAUUUUCUUGGGAAAAAACACCCGCCCAAUGAAGCCAUCUCCGUGUCGCAUACCUAUUGCCACAACCAACUAAGCUAGCCCAGUGUUUUUUGUGGAAAAGAUGGUUGUUCCUUCUAUUAAAUAGUCCCACCUCGCCCCUUUACACCCAAUCCUCUUAAUUUCCUUAUGCCUUUGAAUUUCCUAGGUGUCAACAAGCAGUCUUCGGAAUCAUCAAUAAGCCAACAGCGAGAAAUAAGUUCAAGAAUUGAGUUCCCUUAACAGGGAAAUAAGGAAGGGAAGAAACAAAUAGGGAACAAUCAGAUGAAGCAUCAAGGAAAAUGGAUUGAACAAUCAGAUGAAGCAUCAAGGAAAAUGGAUUGAACAAUCAGAUGAAGCAUCCAGCUCGAGGAGAAGCAUGGUCUGCAAGGAGACCAAUCAUCUUGAGGUGGUUCUUUCAGCUACUGCAUGUUCCAUUAGGGAGAAGGGUACUUAGUCGAUCUUAGGAGCCAGACUCUGCUUUCCUUGCAGGGAGAAUUUCAAUAAAUGGUACUAUUACUCUCCCAACAAUUCUUUUAUCACUACAAAAUGUGUAGGAACCUUAUUUUUCUUAAGUGGCAUAAUGUGAUUUCUUAAGUGUUGUGUUGUAACACUUUAGAGUAAAAGAAUAAUUAUGUAUGAAGAAUAAUAUUACCGAGUCAGGCAGAAUUUGACCUUAGUUCUGACCAAAUUAAUCUUUAUUUGUUUGCCAGGUUGUGUGUCAAACAUCACUUCAUGUUGUAGUCCAUUUUUUCCUUUCAAAAGCCACAUUAUGAAAUUUGGCUUUAUAAGAAGUUUCACUUUAUUAUUAGUGGAGAACGGGAGAUAAGGAAAGGGAAGGGAAAAACAGUAAUUCUAGCAACUAGCCAUUGUUCCGUGGCAAAACACAGGUGUUUGUUCUAUUAUGUCCAUCGGAAAUCUUUACGGAGGAGUUGGGACUGAGUGAGUGACAUAGAUUUGCUUGAGGUCACAAAUUCUUUUCUGCUGUUACUUGCAUCUUACUUGAAUUUUUUUCUUCAAGUUCUUCCUGUUUUCCCAUAUCCUCUGCUCUAUAGAAGCUGCUACAUCAAAUUAAGUAAGUGCAUCCUUCUUUUUUGUCCAAGUUUGUUCUAUUCUAUUACUCAGAAGUCUGUACAAGACUGAGAGAGUGAAGCAUAUUUGCUUGAGAUUUGAAUACUUUUUUGAUGUCGGGUUUGUACACUAUACAGUUUGAUUAAUGAAAACUGAUAAAAGUAGUGGCAAACACUUGAUUGAGUAAGCUACUGGAUUUUACCAGUAAUACACAGUAGUUUCUUGCAAUAUUAUCUGCAUGACAAGAAACACCCAUAUUUGAUUUUGCUCUGUGAUUGGUUCAAAUAUCACUUUUUGGCUAAAGCUGAUUGGAUACGAGUAGUAGUGCCAACAGUAAUAACUUUAAAUAUGAUUUUACCAUGGCUCUAAAUUUUAUUGCUGAUGAUUUGUUUCAGGAUAUUUGGAGAGGCUAUUUGCACCGUAGUUCAAGACAGCUGAUAGAGUAUAAGCUAGGCAACUCACUUAUAUUGUUACUUGUUUAAAUGGUUAUCUAUUCUGCCGGCAUAUUCACAUGCCAUAUUAAUUUCAGAAGAACAAUUUCUAAUUUGUGUUGUGCUUGCAUGCAUUGUUCUGUCUAAAAAGAAAAUUCCAAACAAAAACAAAUAUAAAGUCACAGUUUGUAUUUACGCACUGGAUAGUUUCAAUCGCGCUAAAUUAAACGAAGGCUUUCAGAAUAAAUUGUGGCCUCUAAGCUUGUGUGUACUCAAUUACUAAAUGUGUAAUAUCAGCACAUAUUAGCACGACUAUUUCUUAAGUGCAGCCAGCCACCAAUUU